CAGCAGCCGCGGUAAUACGUAGGUGGCAAGUGUUGUCCGGAAUUAUUGGGCGUAAAGGGCUCGCAGGCGGUUUCUUAAGUCUGAUGUGAAAGCCCCCGGCUCAACCGGGGAGGGUCAUUGGAAACUGGGAAACUUGAGUGCAGAAGAGGAGAGUGGAAUUCCACGUGUAGCGGUGAAAUGCGUAGAGAUGUGGAGGAACACCAGUGGCGAAGGCGACUCUCUGGUCUGUAACUGACGCUGAGGAGCGAAAGCGUGGGGAGCGAACAGGAUUAGAUACCCCGGUAGUCCCUGUCUCUUAUAC
rnacentral:rRNA from 1 species